rnacentral:rRNA from 1 species
UACGUAGGGGGCUAGCGUUGUCCGGAAAUCAUUGGGCGUAAAGAGCGUGUAGGCGGCUCGGUAAGUCCGCUGUGAAAGUCGGGGGGCUCAACCCUCGAAUGCCGGUGGAUACUGUCGAGCUAGAGUGCGGAAGAGGCGAGUGGAAUUCCUGGUGUAGCGGUGAAAUGCGCAGAUAUCAGGAGGAACACCGAUUGCGAAGGCAGCUCGCUGGGACGUUACUGACGCUGAGACGCGAAAGCGUGGGGGAGCGAACAGG